GACCGUGUAGCUCAGUUGGUUAGAGCGUGGUGCUAAUACUGUCCCAGUGUAACGCCAAGGUCUUGGGUUCGACCCCCAACAUGGUCA
rnacentral:tRNA from 1 species